AUGAACGCUGGCGGCGUGCCUAAUACAUGCCAGUCGCGCGAACAGACGAGGAGCUUGCUCCUCUGACGUUAGCGGCGGACGGGUGAGUAACACGUGGAUAACCUACCUAUAAGACUGGGAUAACUUCGGGAAACCGGAGCUAAUACCGGAUAAUAUAUUGAACCGCAUGGUUCCAUAGUGAAAGACGGUUUUGCUGUCACUUAUAGAUGGAUCCGCGCCGCAUUAGCUAGUUGGUAAGGUAACGGCUUACCAAGGCAACGAUGCGUAGCCGACCUGAGAGGGUGAUCGGCCACACUGGAACUGAGACACGGUCCAGACUCCUACGGGAGGCAGCAGUAGGGAAUCUUCCGCAAUGGGCGAAAGCUUGACGGAGCAACGCCGCGUGAGUGAUGAAGGUCUUCGGAUCGUAAAACUCUGUUAUUAGGGAAGAACAAAUGUGUAAGUAACUAUGCACGUCUUGACGGUACCUAAUCAGAAAGCCACGGCUAACUACGUG
rnacentral:rRNA from 1 species